rnacentral:rRNA from 1 species
UACGGAGGGUGCAAGCGUUAUCCGGAUUCACUGGGUUUAAAGGGUGCGUAGGUGGGCAGUUAAGUCAGUGGUGAAAUCUCCGGGCUCAACCCGGAAACUGCCAUUGAUACUAUCUGUCUUGAAUAUCGUGGAGGUAAGCGGAAUAUGUCAUGUAGCGGUGAAAUGCGCAGAUAUCAGGAGGAACACCGAUGGCGAAGGCAGUGUUCUGGGCCAGUACUGACGCUGAGGAGCGAAAGCGUGGGGAGCAAACAGG